CCUGCUCAGGGACCCAAACCCAGCCCCAGCCUGCCGAGGAGGGGCUGGCUUCACCCGGGCCACCCACACACUGGCACGUCUGUGCACAUGGAGGCCAGUUCCCUUUCUGCAUUAGCUGCGGCGUGGAUUCCUAGUCACAUCUGCACAGGCAGAGGGAAAGCCUGUAAUUUCCAUAGAAUCCAGUUCUUUGAGUCAGAGCUGAGGGACAUGGUCCUGCCUGGAUGAGAUGCCCUGGAACUACCGCUGCCACCUUGCUGCCUGCCUAAGCGGGAAGCCAACGCUGCAGGACCGAGCAGAGAGAGUGAGAAGAUGGCCAUUUGCAAACCAGGAGGAGAGGCUUCACCAGAAUCUGCCCAUGCUGGCACCCUGAUCUUGGACUUCCGGCGUCCAGAACUGUGAGAAAUUUCUGUUGUUCAAGCCCCCCAGUCCAUGGUAUUUUGUUACGACAGCCCAAGCUGACCAAGACAAUACCACACAAUGGCUUUUCUGAUACAACUUUGUCUCAGGGUUAAGCUAUAGCCAUAGCCACGCUGGUCACCCUGCC
rnacentral:lncRNA from 1 species